rnacentral:rRNA from 1 species
GACGAAACGCUGGCGGCGUGCCUAACACAUGCAAGUCGAACGGGACUUACCGAAUGAAGCUUUCGGGUUGGGAUUUUGUAUAAGUUUAGUUGGCGGACGGGUGGAGUAACGCGUGAGUAACCUGCCUUCAAGAGGGGAAGUAACGUUCUGAAAAGAACGCUAAUACCGCAUAACAUACGGAUGUCGCAUGGCAACCGUAUCAAAGAUUUUUAUCGCUUGAAGAUGGACUCGCGUCCGAUUAGCCAG